GAGGGAGAGCGGUGGGAGCUGUCCGUGCGGGUCUCCAUGAGGAGCGAGUGGAAGAGGAGGAUGGCGCAGAGUGACGUGCUGUACCAUCUACAAGCCGAGGUCUCCACAAGGAGGGGUGUGACUAGCACGGAGCGCUUUGUGGGAUGUCGCUACCGCCACGCGCUGCCUCAGCCUGCAGGCGCUGCUGAGUACUGCGUCCGCGUGAGAGUCGCGGCUCGCUACCCGCGGUGGAAGACAGGGGAGUGGUCUCCACUGUCGUGUGUCUCCGUCCCUCCACCACACAGCGCCGUGGCAGACGGACAGAAAAUAUGGCAUCUGUGCAGGACCGCCCUUUCCUGAAACCGCAUUGGGGCUCCGCAAGCCUCUCCUCAGCGUGCCUGGCAAGGCGGUGUUGAACAACAACACACAGACAG